AUUUAUUCAUAGUAUAUCAUAUUUAAUGUUUGUUUUAUUGAUUUAUAUUUACAGUAAGUGCAAAAUAAGCUUUUCCUAAUGCAGUAAUAGCAAGAAUAAGAUAAGGCCUCAAUCAUUGCUAGCUUGAUUUCAGGCAAUACAAUAUAGUUUUUAUGUACCUCUUUCCAGGUGUUUGUUCCUCCAUAUGAAGAAUUUACACUCACAAGUGUGUCAUCGAAUGUUUAAAAGUGUUGUUGAACAUAUCCAAAGGGAUUAAUAAAGUAUUCUGUCGUAAUGACAAACGAGCUAAUGCUAAAGCUAACUGCACUAAUGCUAACGUUGAAGCUCCGUCUAGGUGUAAUAAUGUGCAGGGAAAGUACGCAGAUAGGGUUGUAGUUUGUUGGGAUUGGGUGGGUUUGUUGUUUAUUGUCCUUUAUUGCUUGAAUGCUGAAGUUUCUUCCAGAAUUAUCUCUUAUUUCGCUAUGGCGCCAGAUGCAGUUACCUUGUGCUGCCAGUAGGAGGCAAGAUGGCGUCAUCAUUAUUAGCAGGCAAGUAGAGACAACAUUUUCAUACCGAAGAAAACAGCUUUGUCAUUUAAGUGAAAAAGUGUAUUGUUAACAUCACGUUAAAUUUUUGCUCAAAUUUUCCCCCAUUUUCACGUUUUUUAAAUUUGGCAAAUAGUUAAAACAUUCUUCCUAAUUAAAGAAAUGCUCCCUUUUUGUAAUGUAAUGACGUUAUUCUCACACUAUUGUAGCUUUUUUUAACCUAAUUUUCAAAAAAUGGCAAUUUUAUUUUGUUUUGUUCUCAUACUAAGUGUAUAAAUGAUAUCAAAUGUAUUAAUUGAAGAGUAAACACUUGGCAGAAGAAAAAUAUUCGUCAUAUCCUGAAGUUAGAUCCCUUAAAAAAAACAACCAAAAAAACCAAGUGGUGCAGUACCAGAGUAUUCCGGAAGGGGUCAGUGUGGCAGUGCUUUACGCGGCUCCGCUUGGCUGCGGCGAGCAAACGUGAAAUGUGACUUUCUCUCUCAGGAGGCUUUUUGGUGUCUGCCAGAAGAGUCGCCGUGUUUGCUGAUGAUAAUGAAAUUCAUUAAACAGACAAUCAUUUUCGCACAGACACCAUGCCACUUCCUCGUCUUCCUCCUCUUCCUCUCCUUUUCCGCUUCAUCUUCUCACGCGUGUUUCUUCUUCUUCAUUCACCGCCGCAACCUCCUUUUAACGUCAUUGCAUGCCAAGAUCCUCUAUGUGACAGGAGCACUCGAAUGUUUUUAAGAACCCAAAAAAAAUGUCACUCAAAGAUCAUCUGCUGUUUUUAUCAACCUAUUGCAGAAAUGCUCGUCAAAGAUCCUCUACAUCUUUUUAAUGCCCCUGUAAAAAUCACUAGUCAGAGAUCGUCUACCUAACAGGAGUACUCUGCUGGUUUUGAGGAACCUACUGCAAAGAUCUUCUUUUCAACAGGAGUUUAAAAUGUCUGCCAAAGAUCCUGUAUGUGAGAAGAGCACCAGCUGUCUUUAAGGAGAGUGAAAGACAUUCCCAAUGGCCUCCUUCAAUCAUUUCUGACCUGAUUUCAGAGUGGCCGGAGCAGGAGGGGAUAGAAAAGAAGAACAGCAACAACAACAACAACAACAACUGCAACAACAUGGCUGGUGUUUCCUCCGUACCGGAUGUGUGUACUUUCCUUCUUUCAGACUCCAUGAUGUCAUACUGACGCAGCGUGGUGGGCGCCGUGGCUGCACGAUUUACCGCCACAGUGCUUUUACACAAUUGCAUGUGCCGCAGAAGAAGAAUCGUCUGAAAGUAAAGUUGCGUUGCAAGAAGUCGGAAUAUUACGAAACGAAAAGCACGAGUUG